CUUAGUGGCGAACGGGGUGAGUAACAACGUGAGUAACCUGCCCCAGAGUGGGGGGACAACAGUUGGAAACGACUGCUAAUACCGCAUAAGCCCACGACCCGGCAUCGGGUAGAGGGAAAAGGAGCAAUCCGCUUUGAGAUGGCCUCGCGUCCGAUUAGCUAGUUGGUGAGGUAACGGCCCACCAAGGCGACGAUCGGUAGCCGGACUGAGAGGUUGAACGGCCACAUUGGGACUGAGACACGACCCAG
rnacentral:rRNA from 1 species